rnacentral:rRNA from 1 species
GAUCUAGCUUGCUAGAUGCUGACGAGCGGCGGACGGGUGAGUAAUGCAUAGGAAUCUGCCCGGUAGUGGGGGAUAACCUGGGGAAACCCAGGCUAAUACCGCAUACGUCCUACGGGAGAAAGGGGGCUUCGGCUCCCGCUAUUGGAUGAGCCUAUGUCGGAUUAGCUAGUUGGUGAGGUAAAGGCUCACCAAGGCAACGAUCCGUAGCUGGUCUGAGAGGAUGAUCAGCCACAUCGGGACUGAGACACGGCCCGAACUCCUACGGGAGGCAGCAGUGGGGAAUAUUGGACAAUGGGGGCAACCCUGAUCCAGCCAUGCCGCGUGUGUGAAGAAGGCCCUCGGGUUGUAAAGCACUUUCACCGAGGAAUAACGCCUAGUGGUUAAUACCCAUUAGGAAAGACAUCACUCCCAGAAAAAGCACCGGCUAACUCCGUGCCAGCAGCCGCGGUAAUACGGAGGGUGUAAGCGUUAAUCAGAAUUACUGGGCGUAAAGCGCGCGAAGG